rnacentral:lncRNA from 1 species
ACAUCUUAGGAUACUGCUAAAGCAAUGCUGUUAGAACCCAGUAGAAAGCCUAAAAUAUUAUUCCUCUUGCUGAAGCUACUAUGCUUGAAAUGAAAAUUCUUAACCAGUCAUAACAACUUUGAUUAUGUUGGAAGCAACAUGCAGAAAAGGGAGGGUUUUACAGAUUUGGAUGUGUAACUUUGAUCCUAAGAUAUCAGGCUACAGUCAUCUUCAAGAUAGAAUGGUUAUCCUUCCAUCAUCAAUACCAUACUCUAGAACUAGCCAGAAGUAAACAAGUUUUGAAGCACUUCAUGGGACCAUUCAAGAAUGUCGUAGUUUUGUAGACUACUUGCAGCUCUUGCAUACCUUUCAUGAUAACAAGCUCCCAAAGCAUUAGCCUCUUGACAGGCCAGUCAUGAUGGUUUUUCAAUUUGGAUAAAUUAGGUGCCUCCCCACAAGACUGAGGCUCUUAGUGGGUGUGAAUUGUUGUAAGACUACAAAUGAUUGGUGCUAGCUAUAAAAAUAUCCAGUUUACCAGGAGCAUGACUCAGGUGCUUAGGACGACAAUCUGGCAAAGAAGCAAGUCAGAUCAGGGAUAUAUCACCCAUGUAUUUUAAUGCAAACUUAAAUAGCCUUACUUUUAAGAUGUGCUAUCAUCAACUUGUAAUUGAGUGUCAUCAAUAAUUCAUGUUGUUUAG